GACAGAGGAUGCAAGCGUUAUCCGGAAUGAUUGGGCGUAAAGCGUCUGUAGGUGGUUUGACAAGUCUCCUGUCAAAGAUCAGGGCUUAACCCUGGGCCGGCAGGAGAAACUAUCAGGCUAGAGUUCGGUAGGGGCAGAGGGAAUUCCCGGUGGAGCGGUGAAAUGCGUAGAGAUCGGGAGGAACACCAAAGGCGAAAGCACUCUGCUGGGCCGUUUUUUGCUUGCAAAAAUAACUGACACUGAGAGACGAAAGCGAGGGGAGCAAAUGGGAUUAGAUACCCCAGUAGUCCUCGCCGUAAACGAUGGAUACUAGGUGUUGGAUGUCUUCAAAUCAUUCAGUACCGUAGCUAACGCGUGAAGUAUCCCGCCUGGGGAGUAUGCUCGCAAGAGUGAA
rnacentral:rRNA from 1 species